rnacentral:rRNA from 1 species
GACGAACGCUGGCGGCGUGCUUAACACAUGCAAGUCGAGCGGUAAGGCCCUUCGGGGUACACGGGUGGCGAACGGGUGAGUAACACGUGGGUGAUCUGCCCUGCACUUCGGGAUAAGCCUGGGAAACUGGGUCUAAUACCGGAUAGGACCACUGCCUGCAUGGGUGGUGGUGGAAAGCUUUUGCGGUGUGGGAUGGGCCCGCGGCCUAUCAGCUUGUUGGUGGGGUGAUGGCCUACCAAGGCGACGACGGGUAGCCGGCCUGAGAGGGUGACCGGCCAAACUGGGACUGAGAUACGGCCCAGACUCCUACGGGAGGCAGCAGUGGGGAAUAUUGCACAAUGGGCGCAAGCCUGAUGCAGCGACGCCGCGUGAGGGAUGACGGCCUUCGAGUUGUAAACCUCUUUCAGCACCGACGAAACGCAAGUGACGGUAGGUGCAGAAGAAGGACCGGCCAACUACGUGCCAGCAGCCGCAGUAA